rnacentral:rRNA from 1 species
CGGGGUUUAGUUUGUAGUAAUACACGCCUAAAUCCAGUGGCGAACGGGUGCGUAACACGUGAGUAAUCUGCCGGGAAGUGGGGGAUAGCUCGCCGAAAGGCGAAUUAAUACCGCAUAUGACAAGGGAAGACAUCUUUCCGAAGUCAAAGUCGCAAGACGCUUCCUGAUGAACUCGCGGCCUAUCAGCUAGUUGGUGAGGUAACGGCUCACCAAGGCAAUGACGGGUAGCUGGUCUGAGAGGACGACCAGCCACACUGGAACUGAGACACGGUCCAGACACCUACGGGUGGCAGCAGUCGAGAAUUUUUCACAAUGGGGGAAACCCUGAUGGAGCGACGCCGCGUGGAGGAUGAAGGUCUUCGGAUUGUAAACUCCUGUCAUGCGAGAACAAGAAAGUGAUAGUAUCGCAAGAGGAAGAGACGGCUAACUCUGUGCCAGCAGCCGCGGUAAUACAGAGGUCUCAAGCGUUGUUCGGAUUCAUUGGGCGUAAAGGGUGCGUAGGUGGCGUGGAAAGUUGAGUGUGAAAUCCUAGGGCUUAACCUUAGAACUGCACUCAAUACUCCCAUGCUAGAGGAAUGUAGAGGAGAGUGGAAUUCACGGUGUAGCAGUGAAAUGCGUAGAUAUCGUGAGGAAGACCAGUUGCGAAGGCGACUCUCUGGGCAUUUCCUGACACUGA